AAGUCGUAACAAGGUUUCCGUAGGUGAACCUGCAGAAGGAUCAUUACCAAGAGUUGUAGGCUUCUGUCUACCAUCUCUUACCCAUGUCUUUUGCGUACUUAACGUUUCCUCAGCAGGUCCACCUGCUGUAGGACAAUUAUAAACCAUUUGCAGUUGCAGUCAGCGUCUGAAAAACAUAAUAAUUACAACUUUUAACAACAGAUCUCUUAGUUCUA
rnacentral:misc_RNA from 1 species